rnacentral:rRNA from 1 species
CAGUCGUACCAACGGGAAAUCAAUUCAUCGAGUGUUAAAUUUGGGUUUCGAAGAGUGUUAAAACCUUUGGGUUCAGAUAUUUUCACUUUUUUGAACGUAUUUUCUCGUACGGUAGGUUAACAUCGAUUUUGAACAUUAUAAAAUGAUCGGAGGAAUGUAGCUUCGAUCUCGUAUUGAAGUGUUAUAGCCUUUGGUAGAUGUAAUGAUCGAGAUCGAGGAUUGCAACGAAUACCCUUUUGGGCUAUCCGUCUGAUCUCUGAUACGUUGCCUCGGUAACGAAAGCGUGCUUACGGUAUUGAGGUAUAACGGUCAAAAGGUUAGAACGUGAUUACA